rnacentral:rRNA from 1 species
AUUGAACGCUGGCGGCAUGCUUUACACAUGCAAGUCGAACGGUAACAGGCCUUCGGGUGCUGACGAGUGGCGAACGGGUGAGUAAUGCAUCGGAACGUACCCAGAGGUGGGGGAUAACGCAGCGAAAGCUGUGCUAAUACACCAUGUGAUCUGAGGAUGCAAGCGGGGGACCGCGCAGCAAUGUUUGGCCUCGCGCCUUUGGAUCAGCCGAUGUCGGAUUAGCUAGUUGGUGGGGUAAAGGCCUACCAAGGCGACGAUCCGUAGCUGGUCUGAGAGGACGACCAGCCACACUGGGACUGAGACACGGCCCAGACUCCUACGGGAGGCAGCAGUGGGGAAUUUUGGACAAUGGGCGCAAGCCUGAUCCAGCAAUGCCGCGUGCGGGAAGAAGGCCUUCGGGUUGUAAACCGCUUUUGGCAGGAACGAAACGGUGUCCGCUAAUACCGGGCGCUAAUGACGGUACCUGCAGAAUAAGCACCGGCUAACUUCGUG